CCCUUAGAUGUUCUGGGCUGCGCGCGUGCUACACUGAUUAUUUCAACAAGUGUUUUAACUGGAGAGUUUGCGUAAUCCUGAAAUGUUAUCGUGAUGGGAGUAGAGUAUUGUAUUUGUUAAUCUUUAACGAGGAAUUCCUAGUAAGUGUAGGUUUAUAAGUUGUUCUGAUUACGUCCCUGCCCUUUGUACACACCGCCCGUCGCUCCUACCGAUUGAUUGAUCCGUGAAUUACAUAGAAUUUUGCGUUUUACAUGACGGAAGAUGAAGUGUUUUAAACCUUAUCAUUUAGAGGAAGGAGAAGUCGUAACA
rnacentral:rRNA from 1 species